rnacentral:rRNA from 1 species
GAUGAACGCUGGCGGCGUGCCUAAUACAUGCAAGUCGAGCGAACAGACGAGGAGCUUGCUCCUCUGACGUUAGCGGCGGACGGGUGAGUAACACGUGGAUAACCUACCUAUAAGACUGGGAUAACUUCGGGAAACCGGAGCUAAUACCGGAUAAUAUAUUGAACCGCAUGGUUCAAUAGUGAAAGACGGUUUUGCUGUCACUUAUAGAUGGAUCCGCGCCGCAUUAGCUAGUUGGUAAGGUAACGGCUUACCAAGGCAACGAUGCGUAGCCGACCUGAGAGGGUGAUCGGCAACACUGGAACGGAGACACGGUCCAGACUCCUACGGGAGGCAGCAGUAGGGAAUCUUCCGCAAUGGGCGAAAGCCUGACGGAGCAACGCCGCGUGAGUGAUGAAGGUCUUCGGAUCGUAAAACUCUGUUAUUAGGGAAGAACAAAUGUGUAAGUAACUAUGCACGUCUUGACGGUACCUAAUCAGAAAGCCACGGCUAACUACGUG